UUACCUACUAUUCAUUCAGAUUCAUAGCCUACAUCCUGACUUGCAGGACCUGGACAAGCUUACACUGCAUAUUAAAUACUUUAUGGCCAUUCCACCAGCCAUUGCUAUUUGACCCAUUGUUGUUAUUCUGAUAUUGAGACAAAUCAUGAUCACUGUCCUAUAGCGUCCAUUUUUUGUGAGUCUCAAUGUCUACUUCAAAUGCAGUUAGAAAUAUGGGAUAGUAGCUUAAUUUUGUUUGUAUGCUACAGGCCGAAAGACAAAAUGUAUAUGUAACUUACUUGCUCCUUUUAAGUAUAACAUUGCUUGGGGAGUCCAAUUCCGCUAUGGGUGGAAAGUGCUUACAACUCUCAGCUAGUUAGCGAUCUAUCACUUCUCUACAUGUAGUUGUGUUGCGCGAAUGCUGCUGAGGGAAGUACCCUAUUUGAUUGAUUCGCUGAAUUGUCUAAUCAUGUGGUGAUAACAAAAAAGAAAAGCGAUACCAUUGGCCUUGGGCGCACACUGGUGCGACCCGAGGGCGAAUUUUCUUUGGCCAAUGAAAAGCUGUCUCUGCUUGAUAGACAGCAAAAAGUUAGCGAGCUUACAUUGACUUCAAGGUGGCCGGCGCCCCUGACUUGGAGGAGGGCUUUAUUUCGAAUGACCAAUAACUAGCCUAGCCCAAAUCAUUGAUGUUCAGACGCAUUUAAAUGGUUGCUGGCAGUGACAAUUAUCUCACACAAUUAAACGAGGAUAAACGCUA